ACUACGGGAGGCUGCAGUGAGGAAUAUUGGUCAAUGGGCGCGAGCCUGAACCAGCCAAGUAGCGUGAAGGAUGACUGCCCUACGGGUUGUAAACUUCUUUUAUAAAGGAAUAAAGUGAGGCACGUGUGCCUUUUUGUAUGUACUUUAUGAAUAAGGAUCGGCUAACUCCGUGCCAGCAGCCGCGGUAAUACGGAGGAUCCGAGCGUUAUCCGGAUUUAUUGGGUUUAAAGGGAGCGUAGAUGGGUUGUUAAGUCAGUUGUGAAAGUUUGCGGCUCAACCGUAAAAUUGCAAUUGAUACUGGCAGUCUUGAGUACAGUGGAGGUAGGGGGAAGUCGUGGUGUAGCGGUGAAAUGCUUAGAUAUCACGAAGAACUCCGAUUGCGAAGGCAGCUUACUAAACUGCCACUGACAUUGAUGCUCGAAAGUGUGGGUAUCAAACAGGAUUAGAGACCCCUGUAGUC
rnacentral:rRNA from 1 species